UACAGAGGUCCCAAGCGUUGUUCGGAUUCAUUGGGCGUAAAGGGUGCGUAGGUGGCGCCGUAAGUCGGGGUGUGAAAUUUCGGAGCUUAACUCCGAAACUGCAUUCGAUACUGCGGUGCUUGAGGACUGGAGAGGAGACUGGAAUUCAUGGUGUAGCAGUGAAAUGCGUAGAGAUCAUGAGGAAGACCGUGGCGAAGGCGGGUCUCUGGGCCGAUACUGACGUGAGGAGCGAAAGCGUGGGGGAGCGAACAGG
rnacentral:rRNA from 1 species